UGACGCGAUUGAGUACAGAGUUACGCCUUAAUUAUCAGUGUAUGGGCGGAUUUGUUAGAUUAAGUUUUUAAGUGGAAAAUAAUGGUUUGCUGCGCGAUUGCCGGUUGUACUAACCAUAGCAGACAAGUAAAUAAGUUGGGAAUUAAGUUUCAUAUAUUUCCCAAAAAGAGUGAGACGAAACAAAAAUGGAUAAAUGCAUGUAAACGUGCAGAUAAGUUUUCUGUUGAAAAUGCUCGUGUCUGCUCAAUACAUUUUACUGAUUCGGAUUAUGAAAGGGAUUUGAAAAGUGAACUGUUGAACAUUCCUUCGAAAUGCAAAUUGAAGACUGAUGCUGUUCCAACACUAAAUCUACCGUCUUCCGGUGCCGGCAUAGGGUUUAGUAAUGAGUGUAAUGAUACAGACGUGUGGGCACAGAAACGAAGGUACCGCCAAGAGGGUAUUAUACAGAAGACUGCACAGGGAGAACAUCGAAGUUCUGUAUGUGGUGUGACUGUCGUCAAACAUGAGCCAGUGGAGGCUGUCCCACUCACAUUUCCGAAGCAAGAGAUGGAGCUUCUAUCUGUUAAGGAAGAACCUUUGGAUUGGGAGGUGCCUGAUGGCCACGUUAGCACACAGGAGCCACUAAAUGCUGUUAAAGAGUUCCAGGCAUGUUCACCUUCAGAUGAUUGUCUCGGGCCUAGAACACUCAAUACUGGAAAGACAGAGGAUGACGAAGAUGAGGAGGCAAUGAGUGAGGAUGACUUUGUGGUGGUCAAGCAUGAAGUGGAGUCAGUAGGUAGUGACAGCGAACAAGAAAGCCCAAUUUGAAGAAGAGGUGAGACCCCCUCCCCGCACUUUUAGGUGUAUGGUUGUAGCUGAGGAGGAGGAGGAGGAUGGGGAUGUAAUCUCCACAGCAGACAUUGUGGAAUUCAAUGUAGAUAACUCCUGGUAUGCUGAUGCUGCUGCUCCGUCAUCAAAGUCGCUCAUCUGGGAGUCAGCAAUGCUCUGCCCGGUCGCCGCCCGCUGAGGCAUCGCAUCCUGCGCCGCGUACGUGCCUGCGAUUCCGGAGACUGUUACAGUCCCUGGUCCCCACCACCCUCUGCCUCGUUUAGCCUGUUCUGUCCGACCAGGCGAUGAAGGUGGAUGUGCUGGUCACUCAAGGCCCUCAGGCCGCCCCUGCUCCCAGGACAGGACCGGACUCGAACCCGCGCCCUCCUGGACGCCGUGCCGCAACUUGCCACUAGUGGUGCUUGCCGGAUGGCAACACCCACUGCCGUCUCUGGUGCUGCCGCAGCGCUGCCACGCCUCCUGCAGCGUACGCCUCGCCCAGACUCUGGUAUGCCAGGUGGGAAGCAAACGUGCCCCGUCCUGGACCUGCUGCAGACCGCUGUCGCUGCCCUCCUUCAGGCAGACCUUGUAAUCUCCAAGUACCCAGCUGCCAUUCUGUCCCGUCCCGCUCUAGCUCCAACCCGUCAUUGUUAUCCUUCAAAGCAUAGUCUAAAACAACCUUGGUUUCCAUGUAAUAAGGGAAGAUGGAAGUCACAGAUAUUCAAAAUGAAGAAAUGAAAAUUAGAAACUUACUUUAAAUUUUCUUGUAACGGAAGUAAAUGUGCUCAAGGUUACUCCUACAGAAAAGCAAUAGAAAUCACAACAGCAGCAUAAAACAUUACUUACAGACUUCUUUACGAUGAUAUUUUGAUUUCCAGUGCUGAAACUUCAUCAGCCUAACAGAUGUUGCACUGUAACUGCCCUGUAUGUAUGUCCCAAGGUUUCGAUUUCACUAAAUGUUGUUACGUUCAUGUGUCAUUUCAACCACAGCACCUGAUCAGUGUUGGUACCAAUAUUAGCGAAGUGAGAUAUAGGAAUGUCCAGUUUUCAUGUAGUGGUGAUUCUAAUGCAUCAUAGAGAAGAUAUUAUCAGUUGUGAAUAUGAAUGCAUAUACUUCCUUUUAUGACUCGUAACAGCUACAUACCCACACAAUUUUUUUCUUUGUGCAUGUCUAUGGCAAAGUAUGUUUAAAAUUCUAUAAGGUCAUUGGCUCCCUUGUGUAAUUAAUAUUAAAAAUCUGCACUUCAGUGUUCAGUUUCAUGUAUUAAUAUUAUGAUAGCCAUCUAAUGACUUACGGAGCCUUGAUUCAAUCAUUUAAAUGUGUUUGGAUAGUUAAACUGAUACUAUCAUUAUUGUCCCUAAAUAAAAAACAUUCUGUAUGUCUUCCCUACACAUCUUAUUGGCAAUAAAUUCAAUCAAGUUAUACAUUGUUAUUUCAAUGUAUGUCAACAGUACUUGAUUCCUAAAUAAAUCUAACAGUUAUGUUAGUUCACUUGUGGCUGCAGGCAAUACUUUACGCUGCUGUAUCUGUCAUAUAAAUUUUUCAUAGAGAUAGACAACCUUACGUGCAGUGUUAUGCUUACUAAUGGCAUACCCAAGUUACUUUCAUUUUGGUUGAGCAUUCGAUGUCCUGCACCAAGUUCCUGGCUUGGUGAUGUACUUAAUGCCUUUCAGAUGUGUAUUAAUCACUCUUUCUUCUCAUUAACAUCCAUGCUGUAUUUCACUCAAGCAAUGUCCCCUGUUUGUGCAUACGCCUUGCUUUAUACCACUUACAUGCAGUAUUUGUUAGUGCUCUUUGCAGUUAUGAGUACCAUUCAGAUUUAUCAUAAAAGUUAUAUUGUCUAACACUCUAUGACCAAUUAUCUGUGGUGGUAUUUGCUCAUACACAGAAAAGUCGUGGUGGAUUUCAGUACAUAGCUAUGCUUUGUGUGUGUGUGUGUGUGUGUGUGUGUGUGUGUGUGUGUGUGUGUGAGAGAGUGAGAGAGAGAGAG